CCCUUUGAUACUCUGGGCGGCACGCGCGCUACAAUGGAUAACUUAACGUGUUACAUGUCCGAAAGGAUGUAUGCAAAUCACAAAUGUUAUGUCUCGAGUGGGAUAGUUUACUGCAAUUAUAGACUUGAACUAGGAAUCCCUUGUAGGUACACUGAAGCAUAGUGUACCGAAUACGUCCCUGCCCUUUGUACACACCGCCCGUCGCUCCUACCGAUUGAAUGUUCCGGUGAGCUCUUCGGACUGCGCGGUCUGCAGUUUCUGCGUUCCGUGCGGAAAGUUGCGCAAACCUUAACAUUUAGAGGAAGGAGAAGUCGUAACA
rnacentral:rRNA from 1 species